rnacentral:rRNA from 1 species
GUCCCAGUUCGGAUUGCAGUCUGCAACUCGACUGCAUGAAGCUGGAAUCGCUAGUAAUCGCGAAUCAGCAUGUCGCGGUGAAUACGUUCCCGGGUCUUGUACACACCGCCCGUCACACCAUGGGAGUCAGCAACGCCCGAAGUCAGUGACCUAACCGAAAGGGAGGAGCUGCCGAAGGCGGGGCCGGUAACUGGGGUGAAGUCGUAACAAGGUAUC